GGUCCCAUAGCUCAGUUGGUCAGAGCGUCGUACUAAUAAUGCGAAGGCCGAGAGUUCGAGCCUCUCUGGGACCA
rnacentral:tRNA from 2 species